CCUACGGGUGGCUGCAGUGGGGAAUAUUGGACAAUGGGGGCAACCCUGAUCCAGCCAUGCCGCGUGUGUGAAGAAGGCCCUCGGGUUGUAAAGCACUUUCAGUGAGGAAGAACGCCUGGUGGUUAAUACCCAUCAGGAAAGACAUCACUCACAGAAGAAGCACCGGCUAACUCCGUGCCAGCAGCCGCGGUAAUACGGAGGGUGCGAGCGUUAAUCGGAAUUACUGGGCGUAAAGCGCGCGUAGGUGGCUUGAUAAGCCGGUUGUGAAAGCCCCGGCUCAACCUGGGAACGGCAUCCGGAACUGUCAAGCUAGAGUGCAGGAGAGGAAGGUAGAAUUCCCGGUGUAGCGGUGAAAUGCGUAGAGAUCGGGAGGAAUACCAGUGGCGAAGGCGGCCUUCUGGACUGACACUGACACUGAGGUGCGAAAGCGUGGGUAGCAAACAGGAUUAGAUACCCCAGUAGUC
rnacentral:rRNA from 1 species